CUACGUGCCAGCAGCCGCGGUAAUACGGAAGGUCCAGGCGUUAUCCGGAUUUAUUGGGUUUAAAGGGAGCGUAGGCGGAUUAUUAAGUCAGUGGUGAAAGACGGUGGCUCAACCAUCGUUAGCCAUUGAAACUGGUAGUCUUGAGUGCAGACAGGGAUGCUGGAACUCGUGGUGUAGCGGUGAAAUGCUUAGAUAUCACGAUGAACUCCGAUCGCGAAGGCAGGUGUCCGGGCUGCAACUGACGCUGAGGCUCGAAAGUGUGGGUAUCAAACAGGAUUAGAUACCCUGGUAGUCCAUGCCGUAAACGUUGGGCACUAGGUGUGGGGGACAUUCCACGUUUUCCGCGCCGUAGCUAACGCAUUAAGUGCCCCGCCUGGGGAGUACGGCCGCAAGGCUAAAACUCAAAGAAAUUGACGGGGGCCCGCACAAGCGGCGGAGCAUGCGGAUUAAUUCGAUGCAACGCGAAGAACCUUACCAAGGCUUGACAU
rnacentral:rRNA from 1 species